UCCCUGGUGGUCCAGUGGCUAAGACUCUGUGCUCCCAAUGCAGGGGGCCUGGGUUCGAGCCCUGGACAAGGAG
rnacentral:tRNA from 1 species